rnacentral:rRNA from 1 species
UACGGAGGGAGCUAGCGUUGUUCGGAAUUACUGGGCGUAAAGCGCACGUAGGCGGCUAUUCAAGUCGGGGGGUGAAAAGCCCCGGGGGCUCAACCCCCGGAACUGCCCCUCGAAACUAGAUAGCUAGAAUCUUGGAGAGGCGAGUGGAAUUCCGAGUGUAGAGGUGAAAAUUCGUAGAUAUUCGGAAGAAACACCAGUGGCGAAGGCGGCUGACUGGUCCGGUUCUGACGCUGAGGCGCGAAAGCGUGGGGGAGCAAA